GAGUUUGAACCUGGCUCAGGAUGAACGCUGGCGGCGUGCCUAACACAUGCAAGUCGAACGGGGACAGACGGAAACCUAGUGAAGUCUGUCCGAGUGGCGGACGGGUGAGUAACGCGUGGAUAACCUGCCGCAUGCAGGGGGAUACCGGCUGGAAACAGCCGCUAAUACCGCAUAAGCGCACGGUGCCGCAUGGCAGAGUGCGAAAAGGAGAAAUCCGGCAAGCGAUGGAUCCGCGUCCGAUUAGCCAGUUGGCGGGGUAAGGGCCCACCAAAGCGACGAUCGGUAGCCGGCCUGAGAGGGCGGACGGCCACAUUGGGACUGAGACACGGCCCAGACUCCUACGGGAGGCAGCAGUGGGGGAUAUUGCACAAUGGGGGAAACCCUGAUGCAGCGACGCCGCGUGGGUGAAGAAGUAUUUCGGUAUGUAAAGCCCUAUCAGCAGGGAAGAAAGAAGACGGUACCUGACUAAGAAGCCCCGGCUAACUACGUGCCAGCAGCCGCGGUAAUACGUAGGGGGCGAGCGUUAUCCGGAUUCACUGGGUGUAAAGGGAGCGUAGACGGCCGUGCAAGCCAGGAGUGAAAGCCCGGGGCCCAACCCCGGGACUGCUCUUGGAACUGUGCGGCUGGAUCACCUCCU
rnacentral:rRNA from 1 species